UACGGAGGGUGCAAGCGUUACUCGGAAUUACUGGGCGUAAAGCGUGCGUAGGUGGUUCGUUAAGUCUGUCGUGAAAGCCCCGGGCUCAACCUGGGAAUGGCGAUGGAUACUGGCGGGCUAGAGUGCGGUAGAGGAGAGUGGAAUUCCCGGUGUAGCAGUGAAAUGCGUAGAGAUCGGGAGGAACAUCAGUGGCGAAGGCGGCUCUCUGGACCAGCACUGACACUGAGGCACGAAAGCGUGGGGAGCAAACAGG
rnacentral:rRNA from 1 species